UUAUUUGAUGACUUUUUCGGAGGUAUGCUUAAGAGGGGCUUGCGUCCAUUAUUUAGUUGGCAGGGUAAAGGCCUACCAAGACUAUGAUGUGUAGCUGGACUGAGAGGUUGAACAGCCACAUUGGGACUGAAACACGGCCCAAACUCCUACGGGAGGCAGCAGUAGGGAAUUUUCGGCAAUGGAGGAAACUCUGACCGAGCAACGCCGCGUGAACGAUGAAGUAUUUCGGUAUGUAAAGUUCUUUUAUUGAAAAAAAAAAAAUAGUGAAAAAACUAUCUUGACGAUAUUCAAUGAAUAAGCCCCGGCAAACUAUGUGCCAGCAGCCGCGGUAAUACAUAGGGGGCGAGCGUUAUCCGGAAUUAUUGGGCGUAAAGGGUGCGUAGGCGGUUUAAUAAGUCUAUAGUUUAAUUUCAGUGCUUAACACUGUCCUGCUAUAGAAACUAUUAGACUAGAGUGAGAUAGAGGCAAGUGGAAUUCCAUGUGUAGCGGUAAAAUGCGUAAAUAUAUGGAGGAACACCAAAGGCGUAGGCGGCUUGCUGGGUCUUUACUGACGCUGAGGCACGAAAGCGUGGGGAGCAAACAGGAUUAGAUACCCUGGUAGUCCACGCCGUAAACGAUGAGUACUAAGUGUCGGGAUUACUCGGUACUGAAGUUAACACAUUAAGUACUCCGCCUGAGUAGUACGUACGCAAGUAUGAAACUUAAAGGAAUUGACGGGACUCCGCACAAGCGGUGGAUCAUGUUGUUUAAUUCGAAAAUACACGAAAAACCUUACCAGGUCUUGACAUACUCUGCAAAGCUAUAGCAAUAUAGUGGAGGUUAUCAGGGAUACAGGUGGUGCAUGGUUGUCGUCAGCUCGUGUCGUGAGAUGUUAGGUUAAGUCCUAAAACGAGCGCAACCCUUGUCAUUAGUUGCCAGCAUGUCAUGAUGGGCACUUUAAUGAGACUGCCAAUGAAAAAUUGGAGGAAGGUGAGGAUCACGUCAAAUCAUCAUGCCCCUUAUGAUCUGGGCUACAAACGUGAUACAAUGGCUGUUACAAAGAGUAGCUGAAACGCAAGUUUAUAGCCAAUCUCAUAAAAGCAGUCUCAGUUCGGAUUGAAGUCUGCAACUCGACUUCAUGAAGUUGGAAUCGCUAGUAAUCGCGAUCAGCAGC
rnacentral:rRNA from 2 species